rnacentral:rRNA from 1 species
GGACCCGCACAAGCGGUGGAGCAUGUGGUUUAAUUCGAUGCAACGCGAAGAACCUUACCUGGCCUUGACAUCCUGUGAACCCUGAAGAGAUUCGGGGGUGCCGCAAGGAGCACAGAGACAGGUGCUGCAUGGCUGUCGUCAGCUCGUGUCGUGAGAUGUUGGGUUAAGUCCCGCAACGAGCGCAACCCUUGUCCUUAGUUGCCAGCAUUCAGUUGGGCACUCUAAGGAGACCGCCGGUGACAAACCGGAGGAAGGUGGGGAUGACGUCAAGUCAUCAUGGCCUUUAUGGCCAGGGCUACACACGUGCUACAAUGGUAAGUACAGAGGGAAGCCAACCGGCGACGGGGAGCCAAUCCCAGAAAACUUAUCGUAGUCCGGAUCGGAGUCUGCAACUCGACUCCGUGAAGUCGGAAUCGCUAGUAAUCGCAGAUCAGCAUUGCUGCGGUGAAUACGUUCCCGGGUCUU